rnacentral:rRNA from 1 species
AUUGAACGCUGGCGGCAGGCUUAACACAUGCAAGUCGAGCGGGGGAAGGUAGCUUGCUACCGGACCUAGCGGCGGACGGGUGAGUAAUGCUUAGGAAUCUGCCUAUUAGUGGGGGACAACAUCUCGAAAGGGAUGCUAAUACCGCAUACGUCCUACGUGAGAAAGCAGGGGAUCUUCGGACCUUGCGCUAAUAGAUGAGCCUAAGUCGGAUUAGCUAGUUGGUGGGGUAAAGGCCUACCAAGGCGACGAUCUGUAGCGGGUCUGAGAGGAUGAUCCGGCAAACUGGGACUGAGACACGGCCCAGACUCCUACGGGAGGCAGCAGUGGGGAAUAUUGGACAAUGGGGGGAACCCUGAUCCAGCCAUGCCGCGUGUGUGAAGAAGGCCUUAUGGUUGUAAAGCACUUUAAGCGAGGAGGAGGCUACUUUAGUUAAUACCUAGAGAUAGUGGACGUUACUCGCAGAAUAAGCACCGGCUAACUCUGUGCCAGCCGCCGCCGUAA